rnacentral:lncRNA from 1 species
CUGUCUCNGUUAUACGCCAGCUGUACCGGGAGAAGAGCAACAAAUACUUCGUGAUCGCCAUCGAGAGGGACGAACAUCUUGUGAAGGAUCUGCUCGCUGAAAAAAUUCCUGUGCACACGGCAGAGUUUGUGCUGGGCUCCAUCUUGCGGCAGGAGGUGAUGACAGACAUGGCGCUCUACAGCUCCUAACUCGUCUUGUAAUUAUAUUCUUCACAACAAUGAAAGACACCAAACAAAAUCUGGUUUUAAUGUUGAAAAAUCUGACAUUUGUUACAAGUGAAUUUGUAUUUUAAACACAAAAUAUUAAGGUGAAUUUUCACGGUUUCCCUAAACCGUUGUACGAAGAAUGUUUUGUGUAGGAAUAGAUGAGUGAGUGAAAGAGGUCGAUUUAGUCCCUGUUGCGUAAGCCAGUUGGGAUAUUGACUUGAUUUGAUGCAUGUAAUUUCCUUAAUCUCGCAUAACUUCACUAAUGAGCUCAUUUAUUCGGUUACAAAAAUGUGAACAGAGAUGAGAAGUGUUCUUGGCUUUUCUUAAAUAGUAGUUUUGAAUCUCUUAAAAAAUAACUCGGAUAUUUCUAGUUGUUUUGAAUCUUAAAAAACUCAAAUAUUUUAUACAAUUUGAUCAGAUAGAGGAGCUGAGUAGUACUCAGUAUCUAGCAAUCUCUAUUGUUAAGUAUUACUUCGUUGUUUAUCUGCAUUACUGCAGCUGGAAAUUUCGCUGUAUCCGAUGUCACGUUCACUGGUUUUCAGGUUAGAUCAGCUGUGCUAUCGCUAACCCUCGCUUACGUCGGCAAGCCUGCGUUUGUUUGGUAGUGCAUUUUGUGUUGAUAACCGCAUUAAAGCCACAUUACUUUUGACGAUAGAUAAUUAAACUAGGUUUAUUUUGAUUUGGAGAGCCCUGGUUUGACCGUUGCCAGCUGCACUGCUCUUAUCAAAGAGCGGCGCUUUCCAGCUCGAGCACCGCUACAAUUUUUGAGUAACUGUUUUCUGAGAUUCUAAUUAUGAUUCAUUGCUCAAGAACACAUUUGAAAAUGUGUGGAUUAUUAUCAAUUAUUUAUUAUGCCUAAAAAUUGAUCGUAAAUCGUUGCAGUUUGUUGAAUGAUGGCUCAAGAAAGCGCUGCACUCGCGCUCAUGUAAUAUUUGAAUUGAAUUGAGUGCACGACAGAAAGCUUGCUUUGUGUCCGGAUACCGCCUCACUCAUGUAGAUAAUGCUAGGCAAAUUCGAUGUCUCAA